AUUAUGCCAUUAGAAUCAAAGGUAUAUCUGGAUACACCUGGAUAAGCAAUACAGAACUUUUACCAAAGUUUGUUAUUUUUUGGUGUAGGGGCUUCUUGUAAACAAUCUUAUGAAUUUAUCAACAAAAUCUUUCAACUAUAUCUUCUUUCAUCAUUUAUUUAAUAAUACUUGUGUGGGUUUUCAUCGGUGUGUGUUGUUUUCAAUCAUAUUAUUUGCGGGGUAGGAAUGUUGGCUCUGUUUGCAAGAUAGGGAAGGGUAAAUAGAAUAACCUUUAUUUUCACAAUCACUUAUCAUUGUGGGAAAUUCAUAUAUAAAUGGACUCAUUUCGAAUACUUUUCAAUUCCGGGAUGGAUGUACUUUUAACGAAUACAUGUGCAUAAUCUAACUACCACUAUAGUUUUGUUCCAUCAAAACAUGACACACAAUUGCAAUAUUUGGUGUCAAAAACGAAUUACGUAAUAUGGAAACUGUUACCGGUAUUGUAUUUAUCACAAUAUACGUAAAAUAAGCCACAAAUUUAUACACAGCAAAAAUUUCAAUGUUUUUAACACUAAGUAGGUACCAUAUUAAGUACUUAAUGGAAAAUGGUAAAUAUAACUUUCAAUAUAAUAUUUAAAUACCUGCCAUUGCAAAUCACACAAACAAAUGUAAUAAUACUUAAAACAUUAAAUAUUAGUUAAAUUGUUACAAAAGUUUUCUCGCCACGCACACACGAAUUUUGAAGGUUGAAAGCAUCACAUGGCGUAUUUUUAUCUGAAUAAUCACAUAACAUAAUGAGGCGAAUAAGUUAUUUCUGGUUUUAAAUGAAGUAAUCUAAUAUAAGUAUAUAAACACACGCAUUAUUAAACGAGAUAUGUAGCUAACCUAAACUAACCAAACAAACAAACGAUUUAAAUAUUUUUCAGAACCAUAACAGAGACUCCAUUUUGGACAAAUCAUGGUUUCAAAGAACAAAAAACGCUCAAAUCUCUACCGGAAUUGUGAUUCCGCCAGCUCACGAGGUGGCGGAAUAUAUCCGGUAGUUUGUGACGUAAUUCCGAUACAAAAUUCCACUAGCGAGUGUUCAAGAAUAGGGUUUAGCAAAUUUCUGGUGGAAUCAAGUAAUUCCGCUAGUGGAAUUCUUCCAGCAGCGUCAAGAAAAGGGCCCCAGAGGGAGCACCGGCGGCUGGCGUCAAAAUUCAUAAUCCACUAUAAUCAAAUACUGUAGAGUAUUUGCUAUAAUCCAGAUCAUAACAAUAUGGAGGUGACGAGCGAUGAUGUGGAAGAUCCGGAGACCGUGCUAGUGGAAGAGGAGUUGUCAAGCUACGGGAUUGAAAAGGUGUUCGUUUGCGAGGGGAGCUACAUUGAUGUGACGGCGGAGGAUAAAGUGAACGUGACUGUAGGGAGGCUCUGACAUUGUUUGCAGAGUUGUCGACUAGAGGCUUGUGUGAGCGGGUAGCCGGAUGGGCUGAAAAUAUUAUUGUGGAUAUAGAGAGUGAGGUGGAAGUGUCGUCGGCGAGGAUGCUGAGUAGAAAUAUAUUUCAUGGUAUUAUUAUGGCAAGGAGAGAUUAGAUGUGAAUUUUUUUAAAAUUGUUUUUGUAGAAGAUUAAAUAGAUUUUAUAAAGUAUUAUCUUUUUUAUUUUUAAUAUUUAUUUCAAAUUAAUAUCAUUACUUUUAAAAAUAUACUAUUUUGAUUUGAUAUGAAGUGCAUCUCGUAGCGGCAGUAAUGACUGAGGUGAGUGUUGUAACUGCAUGAUAUACGCUAUAACGAUCAGACAUCAAGUUGAAACAUAAAAUGUUAUGUAUUGGAUAUGGUUUCUCUCAUGAAGAGGGGGGGCACAUCUAAUACUGUAUAAAUGUAAAUCGGAAUAUUUGUAUGUAGUAUGAUUUUAUCGCGCACGAUAAAGGCUGCGUGUGUUUAUCUUUCAUUACAAAGGUAAAUAUGUAGUUUAGCGGUAUUUAUGAAGAAAAAAAAUGUUAAGAAUCCGAAAAUACUUUUAUUAUAUGCUCUUUAACUUCCUCUUUUCAUUAAACCCGGCGGAGAUAAGAAAUUCCAAAUACUUUAGGAGAUAUCGCCGUUCUUAUUUUGCAAUACAAGACCUGUGCAAUCAUUCGACUGCCAUUUUUUUUUAUUUUGCCGUGUGUUCGUGAAUGCCUAAUUAAUUAAAAUGGUCAAUUAGGUCAGGUCAGUUACAUUUUAAACACUUUCAAACUAAGCGGACAUUUAAAAUAAUGUGAAUUAAUUUUAAUGGUUGUUUUUUAAAGUAUUUAUAAUGUAACUGACCUGACCAAACAAACCGGGACAAAGGAUGAACAGUAGGAACUCACGUAAUUUUUUUUUACUUAUUACUUGCGCAACAAUAUCCAAAUAACAAAUAAAACAUUAAAAUUUGAAACGUUAAAAACUCACCUAAGUUAGAGGCGGGUACAAUUCCUUUGCCAUUAGUAGAAAAUGAUGUAGUCGUUCACCUACAUUGCGAAAAAAAAAAAUCAUACACGUAAACAAGAAACAAUGUUGAACACCGCAUGAAUGCACAGGAUUGUGAUGAAAAUUUAAAAAAAAAUCGAUAUCUCCUAAAGUAUUUGGAAUUUCUUAUCUCCGCCGGGUUUAAUGAAAAGAGGAAGUUAAAGAGCAUAGAAUAAAAGUAUUUUCGGAAUUUUUAACUUUUUUUUUAACAAAUAUCGCCCAACUAUGAAAAUUAAAAAAAAUUGAUAUCUCCUAAAGUAUUUGCAAUUUAUUAUCUCCACCGGGUUUAAUGAAAACAGGAAGUUAAAGAGCAUAGAAUAACAGUAUUUUCGGAUCUUUAAAUGUUUUUUUUUUUUUUUUUUCACAAAUACCGCCCAAC